CCUCGCUGAUAUAGAAUACAUUAAGGAAGACCAUAUUACUGAAGAAGAAUGUACAAGUUCUAAAAGACACAAAAGGCAUGAAAGAAGUCAAACUGGAGAGAGGUCUUCUGAACAUACACGAUGUGUUAAUGCCUUCUCAUAUAACAGUGAUCUUCAAAGGAAUAAAAGAACACACACUAGAGAUCAACCCUAUGAAUGUAAUCAAUG